rnacentral:ncRNA from 2 species
CAGUCUUGACCGGGAGAGCGCCGCUACGCGUGGCCGCCGAAGGGGCAUCACCCAAAAACUCUCAGGCAAAAGGACCGGUCAGGGGUC